rnacentral:rRNA from 1 species
GUGUCAGCCGCCGCGGUAAUACGGAGGGUGCAAGCGUUGCUCGGAAUCACUGGGCGUAAAGCGCGUGUAGGCGGUUGUGUAUGUCUGACGUGAAAGCCCCGGGCUUACCCCGGGAAGUGCGUUGGAAACUGCACGACUAGAGUCCCGGAGAGGGAGGUGGAAUUCCAGGUGUAGCGGUGAAAUGCGUAGAUAUCUGGAAGAACACCGGUGGCGAAGGCGGCCUCCUGGACGGUGACUGACGCUGAGACGCGAAAGCGUGGGGAGCAAACAGGAUUAGAUACCCUGGUAGUCCACGCCAUAAACGAUGGGCACUAGGUGUCGCGGGUAUUGACCCCCGCGGUGCCGCAGCUAACGCAUUAAGUGCCCCGCCUGGGGAAUACGGCCGCAAGGCUAAA